rnacentral:rRNA from 1 species
GACGAACGCUGGCGGCGUGCUUAACACAUGCAAGUCGAACGGAAAGGCCCUGCUUUUGUGGGGUGCUCGAGUGGCGAACGGGUGAGUAACACGUGAGUAACCUGCCCUUGACUUUGGGAUAACUUCAGGAAACUGGGGCUAAUACCGGCUAGGAGCUCCUGCUGCAUGGUGGGGGUUGGAAAGUUUCGGCGGUUGGGGAUGGACUCGCGGCUUAUCAGCUUGUUGGUGGAGUAGUGGCUUACCAAGGCUUUGACGGGUAGCCGGCCUGAGAGGGUGACCGGCCACAUUGGGACUGAGAUACGGCCCAGGCUCCUACGGGAGGCAGCAGUGGGGAAUAGUGCACAAUGGGCGGAAGCCUGAUGCAGCAACGCCGCGUGCGGGAUGACGGCCUUCGGGUUGUAAACCGCUUUCGCCUGUGACGAAGAGUGAGUGACGGUAAUGGGUAAAGAAGCACCGGCUAACUACGUG